rnacentral:rRNA from 1 species
CAAGUCGAGCGGUAACGCGGGAGCAAUCCUGGCGACGAGCGGCGAACGGGUGAGUAACGCUUCGGAAUCUGCCCAGUAGUGGGGAAUAACCAACCGAAAGGUUGGCUAAUGCCGCAUACGACCUACGGGUGAAAGCGGGGGAUCGCAAGACCUCGCGCUAUUGGAUGAGCCGAAGUCGGAUUAGCUAGUUGGUAGGGUAACGGCCUACCAAGGCGACAAUCCGUAGCUGGUCUGAGAGGACGACCAGCCACACUGGGACUGAGACACGGCCCAGACUCCUACGGGAGGCAGGAGUGGGGAAUAUUGGACAAUGGGGGCAACCCUGAUCCAGCGACGCCGCGUGUGUGAAGAAGGCCUGCGGGUUGUAAAGCACUUUUAGUGGGGAUGAAAAGCCUGGAGCUAAUACCUCCGGGUCUUGACCUAACCCACAGAAAAAGCACCGGCUAACUCUGUGCCAGCAGCCGCGGUAAUACAGAGGGUGCGAGCGUUAAUCGGAAUUACUGGGCGUAAAGCGUGCGUAGACGGUUCUGUAAGUCGGGUGUGAAAUCCCCGGGCUCAACCUGGGAAUUGCAUUCGAGACUGCAGAGCUAGGGUGCGGAAGAGGGAAGCGGAAUUUCCGGUGUAGCGGUGAAAUGCGUAGAUAUCGGAAGGAACAUCAGUGGCGAAAGCGGCUUCCUGGUCCAGCACCGACGUUCAGGCACGAAAGCGUGGGGAGCAAACAGGAUUAGAUACCCUGGUAGUCCACGCCAUAAACGAUGAGAACUAGACGUUGAGAGGGUAAGCCUCCCAGUGUCGCAGCUAACGCGCUAAGUUCUCCGCCUGGGGAGUACGGCCGCAAGGUUGA